rnacentral:lncRNA from 1 species
GUGGCACAAUUUUUUCUCUAAAAAGAAGGAAAAAAAAUGGUGUGGGGGUGUGGCAUUUCUCUUUUAGAGCUAAAAUAUUUGAUUUAGCUUUCUUAAAAACACUCAACCCCGUACUAAGAUUUGGGGAUUUUCUUCUAGAUCUGGAUACUAACCUUCAAAUAAUUAAAUAAAGAAACUUAUCAAUAAAAAUGUAGCAAAGAUCAAAGGAAAACAAAA